rnacentral:rRNA from 1 species
UACGUAGGGAGCAAGCGUUAUCCGGAUUUAUUGGGUGUAAAGGGUGCGUAGACGGAGAAGCAAGUUAGUUGUGAAAUCCCUCGGCUUAACUGAGGAACUGCAACUAAAACUACUUCCUUGAGUACUGGAGAGGAAAGUGGAAUUCCUAGUGUAGCGGUGAAAUGCGUAGAUAUUAGGAGGAACACCAGUGGCGAAGGCGACUUUCUGGACAGUAACUGACGUUGAGGCACGAAAGUGUGGGGAGCAAACAGG